AUUGAACGCUGGCGGCAGGCCUAACACAUGCAAGUCGGACGGUAGCACAGGGGAGCUUGCUCCCCGGGUGACGAGUGGCGGACGGGUGAGUAAUGUCUGGGAAACUGCCUGAUGGAGGGGGAUAACUACUGGAAACGGUAGCUAAUACCGCAUAACGUCGCAAGACCAAAGAGGGGGAGCUCGGGGCCUCUUGCCAUCAGAUGUGCCCAGAUGGGAUUAGCUAGUAGGUGGGGUAACGGCUCACCUAGGCGACGAUCCCUAGCUGGUCUGAGAGGAUGACCAGCCACACUGGAACUGAGACACGGUCCAGACUCCUACGGGAGGCAGCAGUGGGGAAUAUUGCACAAUGGGCGCAAGCCUGAUGCAGCCAUGCCGCGUGUAUGAAGAAGGCCUUCGGGUUGUAAAGUACUUUCAGCGGGGAGGAAGGUGUUGUGGUUAAUAACCACAGCAAUUGACGUUACCCGCAGAAGAAGCACCGGCUAACUCCGUGCCAGCAGCCGCGGUAA
rnacentral:rRNA from 1 species